AUACGGAGGGUGCAAGCGUUGUUCGGAAUCACUGGGCGUAAAGGGCGCGCAGGCGGUUUGGUAAGUCAGAUGUGAAAGCCCAUGGCUCAACCAUGGAAGUGCAUUUGAAACUGUCAGACUAGAGUAUCAGAGGGGAAAGUGGAAUUCCCGGUGUAGAGGUGAAAUUCGUAGAUAUCGGGAGGAAUACCGGUGGCGAAGGCGACUUUCUGGCUGAAUACUGACGCUGAGGCGCGAAAGCGUGGGGAGCAAACAGGAUUAGAAACCCGAGUAGUCC
rnacentral:rRNA from 1 species